GGCGGAGGCGGGAGGAGCCCCCGGCCCGGCCCGGCGCGGCGCAGGAGGCCGCGGGACCAGGUCUUUCUUCUUGAAAACCGGGGGCGCCCGAGUCGCUGCUGUGUGCCUGGACAGGGAGCAGCUGAGGUGGAGGGGGAUGCUCUCCUUCACGGCGCCGGUGAAGUGCUCCUUCUGCAGCCAGGCACUACUUUUCACGUGAAGAUGAAGAUUUGAAGAUUACUGUGACAUGACUUUUAAGUACUUAUGCAAUAUCAUUCCCAUGAAUUAGGAUCUGAGCCUUUUGCACUUGCAGAGAAAGCAGCACUGCUUUCUUUCUCAUUUGCAAAGAGAUUAAACCAGCAAUUGCAAUAAAAAAAUUAACUUUAUGGCAGCACUGAAGCUGAUUCUGUUGCUUUCACUUUAAAUUUGAAAAAAAAAAAAAAAAGGUCAGAAAAAAAUAUUUUUAAGCCAAAACCCUACUGGGGUAGGGUAUGAGGGCUUUUUUAAUUAUACCUUAGGCAAAAGCAAAUUUACUGCAUAUUCAUGAACACCAGUUACCAGAGCAGCCAGGAAUCCAACAGAAAAAAAGCACAGAACAACAGACAGAUAGAAAUAAGGAACUGCAGAUAGGAGUAAAGCAGUUCUCCAUUUGGGACACGCAUCCUGUGGCAGCUUUUAUGCCCCGGCAUGUGAUUUUUAUAGCAGAGUGGAAUAGUCUGUAUUUUAGCCCCACUUCAUAAAGGAGUUGAACUUAAAUAUUCAUGGGGGCUUGAGUGUUAAUUCUCUUCAACAAUAGGCAUUUCCAAUCCUGCACUGUCUAAUUUCACCGGUAUGCUUUACAUACUGGUUUAACAGGUUCUUUUCAUUUAAAUUGAUGCAGAUCUUAUUAAGGUAAUAUAGCUCAGAAUUGUUAUUGGGACUCUCUGAAAUUAGAUUCAUACAACAGGUCAUGAGUGAUCAGAGUGGGUCACCUGUUUCCAGAAUCUGAUCUUCACAACUGAAAAUGUCCUCAAGGGGGGCACCAGAGCCAUUCUUCAUCUUUUCAAUGCUGGGCCGGGGCAAACAGUUCUCCUGUUGCCAUGGACUGACAAACAACAAGCUCCAGGAGCGGUGGAUCCAUUCCCUGUCUGCUGUCUCUGGGGUGAAAUGAGGAUGGUUCCCUGCAUUAUUCAGGGAUUCCUAAUUUGUCGACCAGAAAAGCUGCACUUAAUGUGUGACUGUCCACGCUCACCCAAGGGGAUGGUGAGGGUGAGGAGGUGUUGCUGACCACUAACAGCCAACAUGUGUGGCUGCCAGCAGGGUCCUCACCUCUCAGUGAGUGUCUGUCUGUGUGCUGGCUGCAGCCAGAAGGCCGGGACUGAACUCAGGACAGAGCACAGCGGUGUUACAGGAACCUCUGUGCACAGAUUAGGGUCUGUUUACUGUGGCUUUGCAUUGAUAUUUUUGGGUUACUGAAAGCUGCAGGCUUGUCAGACGUGCACAUUCAUCUGCAGAACUGGGGGUGAACUCAGUGACCCAGAAGGUCCUUUCAGCUCCCCCGUUCAUCAUUUAUUCUGUAUCACUUUAUACAGUAAAUGAGGAGCUGUAGCUUGUCACCAUUCGAUUAAACACUUCCAAGCAACACUGACUU